GACACAUUGUAAGAGCUGUAAAGAGAGAGGGAGAGAGAACAGGCAGAACCUGAUAUGUAAAUGAGCAGAGCAAAUGAAACUAACUUUUGACGACCCGAUGAUCAUCCAGACUCUGUUUCUAUUGAGAGAUAAAAGGCUGGUUGAAUGAGUUGCCUGCGAAAACUACUUCAUCUGUAAGAAAACAGGCGUCUGCACCAGUGACUACAGUUACCAUGGAGAUGAAAUGUCACAACGACAUAUUCAUGGGUCAGUGCUCUAAAAUGAGUCUCUCUGGGGAGAGAGAGGAGGGGGGCCCUGCCUCUAAAAUGCAUCUCUCUGGGGGACAUGACACCAAAGCU